AUUGAACGCUGGCGGCAGGCCUAACACAUGCAAGUCGAGCGGCAGCGGGAAAGUAGCUUGCUACUUUUGCCGGCGAGCGGCGGACGGGUGAGUAAUGCCUGGGAAAUUGCCCAGUCGAGGGGGAUAACAGUUGGAAACGACUGCUAAUACCGCAUACGCCCUACGGGGGAAAGCAGGGGACCUUCGGGCCUUGCGCGGUUGGAUAUGCCCAGGUGGGAUUAGCUAGUUGGUGAGGCAAUGGCUCACCAAGGCGACGAUCCCUAGCUGGUCUGAGAGGAUGAUCAGCCACGCUGGAACUGAGACACGGUCCAAACUCCUACGGGGGGCAGCAGUGGGGAAUAUUGCACAACGGGGGAAACCCUGAUGCAGCCAUGCGGCGUGUGUGAAGAAGGCCUUCGGGUUGUAAAGCACUUUCAGCGAGGGGGAAAGUCAGUAGCUAAUAUCUGCUGGCUGUGACGUUACUCGCAGAAGAAGCACCGGCUAACUCCGUGCCAGCCGCCGCCGUAAGAC
rnacentral:rRNA from 1 species